UAUCUUUUAUUUUAUUUAGAAUUUCUAAUUUGUAAUUAGAGGGUUAAUAGAUAG
rnacentral:tRNA from 1 species